CCGCGCGUCCCUCACAGUGAGCUGCCGCCAGACCAACGCAGGCCGUCGACCAGAGUCCUGCUGGCGAUCUUCCUUCUUUUGCACUGAAUUCUCCAAAACCCCAGAGCACUCUAGGCACGUCAGGUGACUGGGGCGGAAGCGCGAAGGUCGCCCCAACCCCCUGCCCAGGCUCCCCGCCGCCAGCCGCCCCGGGUAGGGGGCGCGUGGAGCCGCCAGGGUCCCAGGGCGGCCGCAGUCGAGGCCCCGGGCGCGCGGGCUGGCCGAGCGGCGAGGAGGUGCAGACCCCGCCGGGCCCCGCGCCUGGCGCAGCCCCCCGACCCCGCGCGCCCCGGCCGCCGCCAGCUCGGCGCGGAGCGGGGCUGCGGCGGCGGCGCACGAGAGGUCACCGCGGUGGCAUUCCUCCCUGCGCGCUGUUUACGUGACUUAAUGUACUUCUUGCGCCGCGGCUCGUUAUCUAGGCCACCCAAUGACCGACGAAAGAUUCUCCCUCCCUUCUUCUCCCAUGGCCGCUUUAAACCAAAUAAAUUGAGCUAUUAAGGGCCAAGAUGUCUGACAAAAGAUCGAAAGGUGUCUUUCCGUGAUCGCUUAAAGAAGCGAAGGAGAAGCUUGUGGCUCGCAAAUCCCGAUAAAGAAAUUCCACACCGGCGCCGGCCUCCCUCCCUGCGCACGGCCUGGCUGCGCCCUGACACCCUGAGAUCCCGACUUAAGCGACCGCAGAUCUGCUUUGGGCCUGGAGGGGCGUGUGGCCGCUGCCCCGGGAAUGUGGGGGUCCCCGGGCUGCGGAGUCCGGCAGCGCUGGAUCACGGGGACUUAGCUUCGGACACUGGGGUCCCUGAGAGCGUCCAGGUCGGUAGGAGCUGGGAGUCCCAAAACGCGACCCCCUACGUGUCCCUAAAAAACGAACUCAGAGGGCCUGAAUGACUAUCCCAUUUUGAUUAUUUUAUGGUACUAAACAAUAAAGGCAAAGACCCGCCCCCACGCCCUUUUGCUGGGAGACUA